CACUAUCACCAAUCCUAAGUUUCUUAAAGACAAAAGGGACUAAUAACGCAAAACCAGAAAACCCGUGAAGGAAAAUGGGCAUGAGGAGAAAAUCACUACCUGAAUAUAAUACUGAAGGUGAGUUAGAAAGAAAAGAUACCAUCUACUCCUUAUUGAAUCAGCAAGUUCUAAUUUCUGAGAGGUUUUUUCGAGGUUUUAGCUAAAUAGGUGUUUGCUGGAAAGACUUUAAGAAACAAAAACAAUUAAAAAAAAAAAACUGUGCGUCUUUUUACUGGAAAAAUGCACAGAAUUUUCCCACAAAAUUUGUUCUUUUCUUUCUUCCAGUUCUGCUGUUAUGAACACUUCUCUAAUCUAUUACUUUCCUGCCUUUUUUUUUUUUUCUUUUGCAGUCUCUGGGAAAUGAAGAAGGCGCAAGGCGCUGGUGGACGACUGCUCUCUGUAUUAUAUGGAAACUGUUAAAGGAGCAGAAAUUACAAAUCGCUCUCUCUGUAUUUUCCUUUUAUAGGAUUCUCUCUAAUCUGUCGACGUA
rnacentral:lncRNA from 1 species